AUGACGUUAAAUCUGAAGGAAGCUGACAGCAAAACGCAUGUUCAACGGACAGGAAGCGGAUAUGAGGCGGUCUAGGCGUUUUUUUUUGAGGGGAGGGGGCUAAAGUACCCAACGCCCAAUACUCAUACAAGACCCUAGGACGUAGAUCCGAUGGACAGGCGGGAAAGAA
rnacentral:ncRNA from 1 species